CGUUGAGGGGUAAACACGUUUUCAAAACCCUCGCUUGCUCAAACCCCUUUCUCCGCCCAAAGCCGUUCUCUCUGUCUACCUAUUCUUUCUUCCCACAAAUGCAAACCCGAGCCUUUCUCUAAUACCUGUUCAGAUUAAACCCAUAUUUUAUAUAGCAGUCUAUUUUAGUGGGCAAUUAACACAAUUGUUGAUUUUGAUCGUGGAGUGUGUUAUUGAGAAAUGGUCGCCCCUGUUAGUACUAGUACUGCUGCUACUACUACUACUACUGGGACGCAAUCACAGACGCAUAUUCUUUCUGCUAGAGAGAGGAAAUUGAUACAAUCAAUCAAGGAAAUCGUGGGCAAUUUCUCUGAUGAGUAUAUCUACACGGCCCUUAAAGAGAACAACAUGGAUCCUAAUGAAACCACCCAAAGAUUGCUUAAUCAAGAUCCAUUUCACGAGGUGAAGAGAAAAAGAGACAAGAAGAAGGAGAGUAUGGGUUACAGGGAUACUGUGGAUUCAAGAAAAAAUUCUGAGAAUUUGAGUCAAGGGACAAAAUUUCGUACAUUUUCUGAUCGUAAUGUUCGACAAGGUGGGUACACUCGAACAGCUGUACCUGGUAAUGCAGGAGUCAAUAGAGAGUUCCGUGUUGUAAGAGACAACAGAGUUAAUCAAAAUACAACUGGAGAGCCAAAGCCUGCCUUGCAGCAAGGUUCAACAUCCCGCAGUGAGCAAGGAAUUGCAAUUGUUGCUGAAAAGGGCAACUUGUCAGGAACUUCAGGCAAUAUAAAGCCCUCUGGCACGCGGAGUUUGACUCAAGCUUCCAAUGGGCUUACUGAUUUUCAAUCUAGACACACCAGAGAUACUACCUUAAAUGUCUCAGACAGGAAAUUAGUACUUGAGGAAAAGCGGACUGUGAUUACUAGUUCAGCUUCACGGGUACAAGUAAUAAAGCCCAAUUCUCAAAAUCAUUCUGCAACACUGGCAUCAAGCAAUUCUGUUAUUGGGGUGUAUUCCUCUUCAACGGAUCCUGUUCAUGUGCCAUCUCCUGAAUCUAGAUCGUCUGCUGCUGUUGGAGCUAUUAAGCGUGAGGUUGGGGUGGUGGGUGGUCGUAGACAUUCUUCUGAAAAUGCAAUAAAAAAUUCAUCUGUGUCUAGCAGUUCUCUCUCAAAUUCAGUUUUGGGAAGGGAUGGUUCAAUGUCAGAAUCAUUUCGACCUUUCCGCACAAUUUCUAAAACUGACCAAGUUAGUCAAACUGUUUCUGCUGAAUCUAUUAUGCCAAGUAUUUCUGUCAGCAGAUCACUAUUAAGCAAUCAGCAUAGCAGGCCACAUCAAGCAGCUGUGGGUCAUCAAAAAGCUGCUCAGCAUAAUAAGGAGUGGAAACCAAAAUCAAGCCAAAAAUCAAGUGUUGGCAGCCCUGGAGUGAUUGGAACACCUACAAAAUCUAGUUUACCUCCUGCUGACAAUUCUAAGGAUUUGGAAUAUGAUGUAUCUGAUUUUCACGAUAAGCUUUUGCGAGUGAAUGUCUAUGAAAAUCAAAAUGUGAUCAUAGCACAACAUAUUCGAGUCCCUGAAACUGAUAGGUGCAGGCUGACCUUUGGCAGUUUUGGGACAGAGUUUGAUUCUUCCAGGAAUAUCGCACCUGGAUUUCAAGCAGCUGGAGUUACAGAAGAAUCUAAUGCAGAAUGUGCUGCAAGCUUGUCAGUAUCUGUACCAGAGUCCUCAAGUGAUGAUGCCUCAGGCAACAAGCAGGUAGAGUUACUAGAUGAACAAGUUAGAAACUCUGGAUCUGAUUCUCCAGCAUCGGGUGCAGUGUCUGAGCAUCAAUUACCUGAUAAGUCUUCAAGUCUACCAAAUUUGGACAAUUAUACUGAUAUUCGUUUAGUUCGAGACAAUAGUCCUUCCUAUACACCUUCAGAGUCACAGCAGCAGCGCCAGCAAGAUCCUCCUGAAUUACCAAGCUUUUCGGCAUAUGAUCCCCAGACUGGUUAUGAUAUAUCAUAUUUCAGACCCCCAAUUGAUGAAACUGUACGUGGACAGGGUCUACCAUCACCACAGGAGGCCUUAACCUCACAUAUGGCCAACAGCAUGCCAACUUCAACUAUAACUAUGGUACAGCAGCAGCAACAGCCACCAAUGGCCCAGAUGUACCCUCAAGUUCAUGUUUCACAUUUUGCCAAUCUUAUGCCAUAUCGUCAGUUCCUUUCUCCAGUUUAUGUUCCACAGAUGGCCAUGCCUGGCUAUUCUAGCAACCCUGCAUAUCCACAUCCAUCAAAUGGCAGCAGUUACUUGCUAAUGCCUGGAGGUGGUUCCCAUCUCAGCGCAAAUGGGCUCAAAUAUGGAAUCCAGCAAUUUAAGCCAGUUCCUGGCAGCAGUCCCACUGGGUUUGGAAAUUUCACUAGUCCAACUGGGUAUGCCAUCAAUGCUCCUGGUGUUGUUGGAAGCGCAACUGGGCUUGAAGAUUCAUCUCGAAUCAAGUACAAAGAUGGGAAUCUCUAUGUUCCUAAUCCACAGGCCGAGACUUCUGAGAUUUGGGUUCAAAAUCCAAGAGAGCUUCCAGGUUUGCAAUCUGGUCCAUACUAUAACAUGCCUGGGCAAACGCCUCAUGCUGCUUACUUGCCAUCCCAUACUGGCCAUGCCUCCUUCAAUGCAGCUGCAGCACAAUCUUCUCACAUGCAAUUCCCAGGCUUGUAUCCUCCCCCUCCUCCAACACCUGCCGCAAUGGCAAAUCCACAUCAUUUGGGUCCAGUUAUUGGUGGUAAUGUUGGAGUUGGGGUUGCCCCAGCCGCUCCUGGGGCGCAAGUUGGUGCAUAUCAGCAGCCUCAACUGGGUCAUCUCAACUGGACACCAAACUUCUGAAAAAAGUGAAAAAGGGAAAGGGGAGUCAUUGUUUUGUGUCUUUGCUCUCUUUAGAGAUCGGACGUGCUUUCUUCCUCGGGAUCACCAAGGCAUUCACUUUUUCAUGUUUCAUGUUCUUACACCUGCACAACUCACCCCUACUUUGGCUAAAGCAGACAGAUCGCCUUCCUUUACCUGCUACGAAACUCUCGUCUGUUCUCGUGUCAAAGUUCAUUAUGAUUAUCUCAAUGUGAAUAGAACUCCCAACUCAUUUGCAAGCAUUAUGAGCCAUUUUCACAGACAGAUACGUACUACACAUGACACUGGCUAUAUGUUGCCAUGAAGAACGAAAUGACCAAACAAGCCAAUAUUAUUAUAUUUUUUGGAUUUAUGAGAAAUGUAAGUGCUUGUCGUGUGUGAAGCCAAGCAAGAUAUUUAUUUAUUUAUUUUCAAUUGGUUUUUACUGAAACUUAAACUGGGAGCAAGAAUGUUCGAUGAUACGUCUCAUUAAUUGGUAAUAGAUAUUUGUUUUGCAUCUGCA